rnacentral:rRNA from 1 species
UACGUAGGCAGCAAGCGUUGUUCGGAGUUACUGGGCGUAAAGGGUGUGUAGGCGGUUGUUUAAGUUUGGUGUGAAAUCUCCCGGCUCAACUGGGAGGGUGCGCCGAAUACUGAAUGACUAGAGUGCGGGAGAGGAAAGUGGAAUUCCUGGUGUAGCGGUGAAAUGCGUAGAUAAUCAGGAGGAACACCGGUGGUGUAGACGGCUUUCUGGACCGUAACUGACGCUGAGACACGAAAGCGUGGGUAGCAAACAGG